rnacentral:tRNA from 1 species
GCCGGAAUAGUAUAGUGGUAGUAUGAGGGAUUGUGGCUCCCUUAACUCGGGUUCAAAUCCCGAUUCCGGCC